CCUACGGGGGGCAGCAGUCGAGAAUCAUUCACAAUGGGGGAAACCCUGAUGGUGCGACGCCGCGUGGGGGAAUGAAGGUCUUCGGAUUGUAAACCCCUGUCAUGUGGGAGCAAAUUAAAAAGAUAGUACCACAAGAGGAAGAGACGGCUAACUCUGUGCCAGCAGCCGCGGUAAUACAGAGGUCUCAAGCGUUGUUCGGAAUAACUGGGCGGAAAGCGUGCGUAGGCUGUUUCGUAAGUCGUGUGUGAAAGACGCGGGCUCAACCCGCGGACGGCACAUGAUACUGCGAGACUAGAGUAAUGGAGGGGGAACCGGAAUUCUCGGUGUAGCAGUGAAAUGCGUAGAUAUCGAGAGGAUCACUCGUGGCGAAGGCGGGUUCCUGGACAUUAACUGACGCUGAGGCACGAAGGCCAGGGGAGCGAAAGGGAUUAGAUACCCUAGUAGUC
rnacentral:rRNA from 1 species